GUGUUGCUGAAUGGCAUAUCAAAGUAGUUCCACCAUGUUGCAGAGUCAGGCUAACUGACUUGCUGAGCACUAACAUGCAUCCUCAAGUAGUAGUCACCGACAGGAAGCUCUUGAACGUAGCGAGCUUUGUAUUUGCCUUUCCCUGCUUAAUCUUUCGGCAUCCUUGCUGAGUGGUGCUCUCAAAAUGGACAAAUUGUGGGGUGCAUCAACUUCUGCAACUAAAGGGGCGUCACAUUUUGUUAGCAGUCUAACUUGAGGACUGGUGAUGAUAAAAAGAUAUGAGGGAAAGCAAGUUGUGGCAAGGACCCCAAAAGUCCAUCUGUCAAAAUGUAUCUAUAUAUUGAUGCAUAGGCAUACAGAUGUCUGGAUAUAGUUUGGCAGAUGAAAAAUGAAAAGUUAUCUAUUUUGUUAAGAACAGAAAAUCAGAAAAUUGUUUAAAUGGAGAGACUACAGAGGAACCUGGGUGUCAUCCUAUACAGAGCACAGAAAGUUAACAUGCAGGAGUUAGUAAGGAAGGCAGUUGUAGUGUAGCCUUUUAUUAUAUAAGGGAAGGAUUAUACACUUGAACAUCUUAGUAUAUUGUUGACGAGGUUGGACCCAGAGAAGCAACUACAAUUUUGGUAGAUUCCUGUGAUGGAGAUUGUCUCAUGAAGAACUGUUGAGCAAGUCGAUCCAUGCUCAUGGAAUUUUAAAAGAAUGAGAGGCGAUCAUAUUGAAACGUGCAGAAUUAUGAGAGGAUUGUCAACCUGAAUGCAGAGAGCAUGUUUUCUCUCAAAUGUGACUUGAAUUGGGGGCAUAUUUUCAGAGUAAGUGAUCACCGAGGAGGCUUUGUUCUCUCUUGAAUCUUUGGAAUUCUUUCCCCAGAUCUCUGAUUCCUAGUCAUUGAAUAUAUACAAGAUAGAGAAAGGUCGUUUUGGGGAUGAGUCGGUUAUUGAAAAGGGGAAGGAAAGGGGAGAUUAGACUAAGAACAGAUAUGCCAGUGUUUUAUUGUAUGGUGCAGUAGUUGCAGCAGUCCUAUAAUACUGUUGCUCCUGUUUCGUUUACUGUUACAGGGGCAUCCUAAUAAACAUUUGUCUACAUUUA